CUGCCUGGCUAAAAGUGCUAAAAAUGGCAUUAUGUCCAAAGUUUUAGCUUGACAUUCCUGAAAUUUCAACUUUUACUGUGCAGAAGAUGCUGUGAGUGGAUCAUGGGAGUGAACCUUAGUGGAGCUGAUCAUCACAGACACUGCCCAUCCGACGUCUUUUUAAGGAUAAAAACAGACGAAGGACUCAGACUAUGAUUCAUCGUCUGCUGUCAUUUUCCAGCUGGACCCCAUCACUAGCUUCAUCAUCAUCAUCAUCAUCUUCUCUUUUUCUUCAUCCUGACCACCACCUGCUGCUGAUCAUCACCCUCAUCUUCGGCACCGAAUCUGCUCUUUUUCUGCUCUUCCUCUGAAUCAUCCAGUUAUGUUGAUUUUCACACAAAUGAACUGAAACCAAUCGUCUCCCUGAAAGAAGAAAAUCCAGAUAAAAUCUGAUGGAGGAUUCAGAGAAUUAUUCGAAUAAAGGGGUUCAAAGAAUAAUAAAACACCACGAGGCCGACACAGUGGGUCCUCGUUCGGUGGAAAACUCUCUCCUCUCUUUCCUCCUCUUCUUCCUCAUCCAUCCAUCGGCAGAGAAACUCCCACCAGCUGUACGAGCGGCUGCUGCUCACCGCCAUAACUCAGAUCCAGCUGGAGCGGAGGAGGACAAACUGCACCCGAGAGGAAACUCAACAAAUAACUUUCAAAACAGUGAGGCUUUCUCUGAGAGCUUCUGUAGGUUUAAAACAAGAGGAGCUCGGUGCUGAAGUUAUUUAAUACAUUUAUG